UUAGUUUUUGAAGUAUGGCCUGCCCGCUGACGUUUGUUGAAGGGCCGCGGUAUUUUGACCGUGCAAAGGUAGCAUAAUCAUUAGUUCUUUAAUUGUGAUCUGGAAUGAAUGGCUUGACGAGACAUGAGCUGUCUUAGUGUUGAAUAUUUUAUUGAAUUUGGUCUUUGAGUUAAAAUUCUUAAAUGUUUUUAUGGGACGAGAAGACCCUAUAGAGUUUGACAUUUGGUUUACUCAUUUGUUGGUUGUUUGUUUAUUUUAUUGGUGAGUGGGCUUUUUGUUUUGUUGGGGUGAUGAGAGGAAUUAUUUAACUCCUCUUAGUUUGGUUAUAUUGAUUUAUAUUUAUUUGAUCCAUUUAUUUUGAUUAUAAGAUUAAAUUACCUUAGGGAUAACAGCGUUAUCUUCCUUGAGAGUUCUUAUCGGCAGGGGGGUUUGCGACCUCGAUGUUGGAUUAAG
rnacentral:rRNA from 1 species